rnacentral:sRNA from 2 species
AUUCUAUCCAUGUGGGGAAGGAUGAGAAGCUUCGACUAAGGUUCGAUUCGAGCGAAAGCGAGCAAGCGUUGCCAACGGCAACGACCCGAAGGGCGAAGCGCGCAGCGCUGAGUCAUCCUUCCCCCACCACCA